rnacentral:misc_RNA from 1 species
AAAUUUAGAAGCCAGAAGAACAUAUUGAAGGUAAUAACAACUUGGUACUACAAACACAUUCUUUGACAUGCUAUGAUACUUGAAUUUCUAAAACAACAGUGUACCAUAUAUGUGUGAACUUUUUUUCAUCUGUUCUACUCUUUUUGAUUAUGUGUUAUAAACCACUGAAGUCUAGCAACAUCGAACAUCCUCUUCCCUUUAUGUAAAAGCUGAUUGUAAGCUUAAAAG